rnacentral:lncRNA from 1 species
CCAGGUAACUUUUAUAUAUGCCAAGACAUUUUCUUACAGACAUCUGAAAAAAAUCUCUCAAUGGGGAGUUCCCAUUGUGGCUCUGCGGGUCACAAACCUGACUAGGAUCCAUGAGGUUGCGGGUUUAAUCCCUGGCCGUGCUCAGCGGGUUAGGGAUCCGGUGUUGCCAGGUCGCAGACAUGGCUCAGAUCCCACGUUGCAGUGGCUGUGGUGUAGACUGGCAGCUGCAGGUCCAAUUCGACCCCUAGCCUGGGAACUUCCAUAUGCUAAGGGUGCAUCCAUUUAAAAAAAAAAAAAGAAAAGAAACAAUAUCUAAAUGUAUGUCCUGUCUGUCUCUUAGUAAUCUGGGAAUGGAGACUAUAAAUUAACUUUUGAGGAGUUCCCGUCGUGGCACAGCAGAAACGAAUCUGACUAGGAACCAUGUUGCAGGGUCAAUCCCUGGCCUCACUCAGUGGGUUAAGGAUCCGGCGUUGCCGUGAGCUGUGGGGUAGGUCGCAGGUGCAGUUCGGAUCCGGCGUUGCUGUGGCUGUGGUGUAGGCUGGUGGCUACAGCUCUGAUUAGACCCCUAGCCUGGGAGCCUCCAUGUGCUGUGGGUGUGGCCCUCAAAAGACAAAAGACAAAAAACAAUUUAACAUAAAUUAACUUGUGAAAUCACUCAUCGCCUCGGUGGUGUCAGGUUAUCAGACAGCCUGUCACAGCAGCAGUGCUUGGGGACUGCUGGAAUGUCACUGUCCCCGAGCACAAGUCCCCGAUGACUGCUUUUUGAGUACUUACAUCCUGUCUCCUUUCUUGAGCAACCUGAGGGUUUGUUCUGUAAUGCACGCGGACUUCAUCACUUACCCUUUGGGUUUUAACUUGUCUUUUUGAAGGUUUUAGGGGAAGCAAGGAAGGCUACAGUGCUGGCUCGCUGCAUUUGCGGUUGGUGGGAUUGCUGAAUAACCCUUCUUGGUCUGGUCACCUAGGAAGGUGGCUCUGGGUAGGAGGCCCUGGCACAGGCAGUUGCCCUGUGCCACUGCGAGAAGUCACCUGGGCAUCCUUUCCAAGUGCAGAUGUGGACUCCGAGGUCUGGGUGGGCCUGAGAUUCUGCAUUUCCAAAGUGUGCUGAUGCCACUGGUCCAGGAAUCGCUCUUCUGAGCAGCAGGGGCUUGGAAGAACAAUCCGGAGGGAACCCCUUCCCCUCGUCUGGGAAUCUUCCGCCUCAAAAGAUCAGGUGACCACGUGCACUGCUUGCUCCCUUGCUGAGUAGCGGUGGCAAAGCCCCUUUGGGAUCUAGGCAAGCUCUCCCCUGUGCAGGACAAGGGACCCUGGAGCAGGCGAGGCCACAGCAGAGAGGGCAAAGGGUUUACAGAAAGGAUUUCCGGUGUCAGCUUCUUCGUCAUUCUGCCCUCUCCUCACUCCAGAGUUCUCUGACCUUAACAAGUCAGAACUUGACUGCAGCUUCCUACGAGAGAGAGAGCGAGAGAGCGAGAGCGAGCGUGCAAGCGCCUGUGCGCACUAGAAAGAAAAGCUUUGGUAGACCCCUCAAUAGGCUCUGGCUUGGAAAACGGAAGGAAACUGGCCACAAUCCUGAGAAAAAGCCUUUGCGACGCACAGAAGGUCAUAGCGCAUGUACUCAGUAGGUGUCCACCCUCGGACCAUCCUGUGACAGAAGGGGUACCACAUCAAGCCCUGCCAUGACAUCUAACUGGACAGUUUUGGCCAAGUCACUUGAUUUGUCUGGGUCUGAUGUCCUCAUCUGGAAAGGGGGAACCCUGAAUUAGGUGUCCUGAAGGACACUUCAGGAUAGCAGCUUUCUAAGGUGUGGGUUUAUCUGAAUUUUUAAGAACACAAAGCUUAGGCCUUAGGAAAGACUUGGAAGCUGUGGGUAAGUCCUCAGCGAACAGCUUGGAAGCUGUGUCUGCCACCCCUCCCUGCCUCCGGCUGGCCUCCUGGAAGGCUGCUUGGCCCUGGGGCUCACGCUGUCCCAUGUGUCUUCAUGGGGCCUCAUCCCAAAGCUGCCAUCAAGCAGAUCGUGCCAUCCGCCUCCCCCUUGCUCUGGGCAAAGCACCCUGUAG